UGGCAAUGAACACAGGCUUUGGCCCAGA
rnacentral:sRNA from 1 species